GCCUAGUUUCUUCAAUUGAUUUUUGUUGCUUGUUAAAGUGGGUUUCUAGAUAUUAGAUCGAAAUAACACUUGAUCGUACUGGGGACCCUCCCCCUUUCUGCUUCCUUUCCCGUUGAAUUGGAUUGAUGUUGAUAAUCUCAUCUUGUCAAACGUCUUGUUUAUUUUUCAUUUACUGGUGUAACUGAUCUUAAAAGUGGUGGGCUUUCGGCAUAGUGAAGACAUGCGAUUUAAGCUUCUGUAAAUGUAUACAUAUAUAAUCUGAUCCUUUGCAUUGAUUCGCAGUGUUUGCAGAAGGGGCAAUCAAAAGUGGAAAGGGUUCGUAAGCACUGCAGCUAGGGUUAUCAAAACGAAAGCCCCGAUCAAUUGUGGGUGUGGUGGAAAUCUGCACUAAACAACUAUUAUGGGUUAAAACUAUUCGUCACAUCGUUGGGCGGUGAUGAACAGCGAAGAGGAAAAGGAGAAUAAAGGGUUCCAUGGCUUUCAGUUGCUUGUUCGGUUUGUUUGCUUAACAAUAAGGAACAGAGGCUGUGGGUGGGCUUAAUUUGGUUGCUAGGUAUAGAAACUCGUUUAAUAAAGAGACAGAAACUGAGAACUUUAUGAGCAAAACAUCUUAACCGAAAUCGAACUUGCGAUCAACAACUCUUCUUCUCUUCACAGGUUGAGGUAGCAAUUUUUGCUAUGGCUCACGGUUCUUCUGGUGGUGAAUCAAAUCAUAGAAAGCCAGGUCUCUUGAAAGAUCAGGUUCGGUUGAUUAAGCGAAAAGAUUGUGAUCGUUACGAGAUUGUACCCAUCCAAGAUUCUCUAUCAUUUGAAAAGGGUUUCUUUAUCGUUGUUCGCGCCUGCCAAUUGUUAGCUCAAAAGAGUGAUGGACUGAUACUAGUUGGUUUGGCUGGUCCAUCUGGGGCUGGGAAGACUGUAUUUACUGAAAAGAUCCUCAACUUUUUGCCCAGCAUUGCUGUCAUAUCAAUGGACAAUUACAAUGACUCUAGCCGAAUCAUUGAUGACAACUUUGAUGACCCACGCUUGACUGACUACGAUACGCUGCUCAGGAAUAUCCAUGACCUAAAGGCAGGGAAAGAAGUUGAGAUUCCAAUAUAUGAUUUCAAGUCUAGUUCCCGAACAGGAUACAGGACACUUAAAGCUCCUAGUUCUCGCAUUGUAAUUAUUGAGGGAAUCUAUGCUUUGAGCGAUAAAUUGCGGCCUUUAUUGGAUCUUCGAGUAUCGGUUAGAGGUGGAGUUCACUUUGACCUUGUUAAACGGGUGUUGCGGGACAUACAACGUGCUGGCCAAGAACCAGAAGAAAUAAUCCACCAGAUAUCUGAAACGGUAUAUCCAAUGUACAAGGCUUUUAUUGAACCAGAUCUCCAGACAGCACAUAUAAAAAUCAUUAACAAGUUCAACCCAUUCACAGGAUUCCAGUCUCCUGCUUACGUUUUAAAGUCAUCAAAGAAAGUGACUGUGGAUCAAAUCAAGGCUGUCAUGUUGGAAGAGCAUAUGGAAACCGUGGAACAGACUUAUGACAUAUAUCUUCUACCUCCUGGUGAAGAUCCAGAAUCUUGCCAGUCAUAUUUGAGGAUGCGGAACAAAGAUGGAAAAUACAGUCUCAUGUUUGAGGAAUGGGUUACUGAUUUACCAUUCGUCAUAUCACCUAGAAUAACUUUUGAAGUAAGUGUGCGGCUUCUUGGUGGCCUUAUGGCCUUGGGAUAUACUAUUGCAGCCCUCCUAAGAAGAAGUAGCCAUGCAUUCUCUGAUGAAAGGGUUUGUGUGAAAAUUGAUUGGCUAGAACAACUGAAUCGCCAUUAUGUUCAGGUGCAAGGAAGAGAUCGCCUAAUUGUAAAGCAUGUAGCAGAGCAGUUGGGGUUGGAAGGUUCAUAUGUUCCUCGCACUUAUAUAGAACAAAUACAGCUGGAAAAACUUGUAAAGGAGGUUAUGGCAGUACCAGAUGACUUGAAGACAAAGCUCAGCAUAGAUGAGGAUCUGGCAGCAAGCCCCAAAGAAGCAUUUUCUCGAGCAUUUUCUGAGAGGAUGGCCAUGAGAAAUAAGCUUCUCAAAACUGGCUUGUCACAUUCGUAUUCAACGCAAACUGACAAUCUGUCCAAGCUAAUUGGGCUUUCUGUCAGUAACCGAAGGUCUGAUGACAGGACAAUGGAAUCACCAUCAACAUUAGCAAAUCAGUUGUCAGAACAAAUAUCCAUGCUGAAUGACCGGAUGGACGAGUUUACAUGUCGGAUUGAAGAGCUGAACUCCAAGUUAACCAGCAAGAGAGUUUCGUCCAGCCCUGAAGCCUGCAAUGGUUCUGCUCCCACUUCUUAUUUCAUUGCUGGCUUAGGCAAUGGUUUCUUGACUGGACCAAUGAUGCCUAACUCUUCAUCUUCCUCCCAAUUGGCAAAGGAGUCUGCAUUGAUGGAAGAGAUCUCAACUGUCGCUCGUGGACAACGUCAAAUCAUGCAUCAGCUCGACAGUCUCAGCAAUCUUCUCCGGGACACCUUCACAGAGAGGUCAGGUGAAGCCAGAACGGAGAGGAAAAGCUUAAUUGACGACAUCCAAUCCAUUAAGGUUCCCCUGAUUCUGUCGUUGGCAAUUGGUGGCUUGGGAGUCCUCUUGUUAAAGAGGUUUCUUCCCCGGAGCUAGUUAUUAGUAGCAAUUCAAUUUGAACGAAUCGGGUUUUAUACAUGUUCAACUUUUGGAAACAGUCUCUUACAAUGCUACCCUUCUAAUGGGAAACAAAAAAAGAAAAAAGAAAAAACUGCUUAAAGCCAUAGAGGCAUAUAAAUGUUCUCAAGGCUCUUUUGAGGUUUUGUUACAGAAGGGUGUGGAUUGGCAAAUUUUGUAGCUUGUAGGGCCGGCACAGACUUUCUUAACUUUUGCCUUCUGAUUCCAUCGGAACAGCAAGUUAAGAUGCUUGUUGCUGAGAUUGUAUUGAUCAUCCAUCAUCCAUCAUUUAGUGCAGAAUGGAAUCAACUCAACACCAUGAAUGGCCUCUGAAGAUCGGGCUUCUGUACAAAGAUUCUGAACAGCAAAACUGCUAUGUCUACCCGCGUGGCUGAGUUGUUAUCAAGCAGAGUUGAGAGUUACAAGUGGAAGCUGUAAAGACGCAUUAUGUUGAUGAUGAUGUUGAGGGGAAGGUGCCACUCGAAUGAGGGGUGUUGUGUUGGGUUGGCGAGGUGGGUAGAGAUGGGAAUGGGUGUCUAAUUGAACUCACCUAGGUGGGGGGUUGGGGUUGGGUUGGUUGGUUGCGAAUGGUAGUAGACAUGGUUGGGUUGGGGAGGUGGGUAGAGAUGGCAAGGGGUGUCUCAUUGAACCUGCCCAGAUGAUGGGGGUUUGGGAUGGCAGUAGAGAUGGUUGGGUUGGCGAGAUGGGUAGAGAUGGGAAGGGGUCCCUAAUUGAACCUACCCAAAUGGGGGUUAGGGUUUGGAUGAAUUUUUUUAUUUUAUUUUAAAGUAGCCUGCACAUUGACCGUAAAUUUUAUUGAUUCGCACCUUAAAUUUAAUUUUAAAUUUUAUUUUAACUA